UAUUAAAAAUUUCAUCCAAUUCUACUGUUAAAAAUUGGCUUGACUGACGAAUAACAAGACAGUUACACAUGGGGACCAAUUUUUAACCGUAGAAAUGGAUGGAAUUUUUAACA
rfam:Gossypium arboreum cultivar AKA8401 contig_7606_1, whole genome shotgun sequence.